GUAGGGAAUCUUCCACAAUGGACGAAAGUCUGAUGGAGCAACGCCGCGUGAGUGAAGAAGGUCUUCGGAUCGUAAAACUCUGUUGUUAGAGAAGAACGUGCAUGAUAGUAACUGAUCAUGUAAUGACGGUAUCUAACCAGAAAGCCACGGCUAACUACGUGCCAGCAGCCGCGGUAAUACGUAGGUGGCAAGCGUUGUCCGGAGUUAUUGGGCGUAAAGGGAACGCAGGCGGGUGUUUAAGUCUGAGGUGAAAGCCCUCGGCUUAACCGAAGAAUAGCAUUUGAAACUGGAAGACUUGAGUGCAGAAGAGGAGAGUGGAAUUCCAUGUGUAGCGGUGAAAUGCGUAGAUAUAUGGAGGAACACCAGUGGCGAAAGCGGCUCUCUGGUCUGUAACUGACGCUGAGGUUCGAAAGCGUGGGUAGCAAACAGGAUUAGAAACCCGUGUAGUCC
rnacentral:rRNA from 1 species